GUGGGGAAUAUUGGACAAUGGGCGAAAGCCUGAUCCAGCCAUGCCGCGUGUGUGAAGAAGGUCUUCGGAUUGUAAAGCACUUUAAGUUGGGAGGAAGGGUAGUAACCUAAUACGUUGCUACUUUGACGUUACCGACAGAAUAAGCACCGGCUAACUUCGUGCCAGCAGCCGCGGUAAUACGAAGGGUGCAAGCGUUAAUCGGAAUUACUGGGCGUAAAGCGCGCGUAGGUGGUUCAGUAAGUUGGAAGUGAAAUCCCCGGGCUCAACCUGGGAACUGCUUUCAAAACUGCAUGACUAGAGUACGGUAGAGGGUAGUGGAAUUUCCUGUGUAGCGGUGAAAUGCGUAGAUAUAGGAAGGAACACCAGUGGCGAAGGCGACUACCUGGACUGAUACUGACACUGUGGUGCGAAAGCGUGGGGAGCAAACAGGAUUAGAUACCCCGGUAGUCC
rnacentral:rRNA from 1 species